UUUGCGACCGGAAUGAUUCUU
rnacentral:miRNA from 1 species